rnacentral:rRNA from 1 species
AGGACGAACGCUGGCGGCGUGCUUAACACAUGCAAGUCGAACGGUAAGGCCCCUUCGGGGGUACACGAGUGGCGAACGGGUGAGUAACACGUGGGUAAUCUGCCCUGCACUUCGGGAUAAGCCUGGGAAACUGGGUCUAAUACCGGAUAUGAACUCCUGCCGCAUGGUGGGGGUUGGAAAGUUUUUCGGUGCAGGAUGAGCCCGCGGCCUAUCAGCUUGUUGGUGGGGUAAUGGCCUACCAAGGCGACGACGGGUAGCCGGCCUGCGAGGGUGAUCGGCCACACUGGGACUGAGACACGGCCCAGACUCCUACGGGAGCAGCAGUGGGGAAUAUUGCACAAUGGGCGAAAGCCUGAUGCAGCGACGCCGCGUGGGGGAUGACGGUCUUCGGAUUGUAAACCCUUUCAGUAGGGACGAAGCGCAAGUGACGGUACCUGCAGAAGAAGCACCGGCUAACUACGUGCCAGCAGCCGC